rnacentral:SRP_RNA from 1 species
GCCAGACAUGAUAGUUCGUGUCUGUAGUCCAAGCUACUAGGGAGGCUGAGGUAGGAGGAUCACUUGAGCCCAGGAGUUCGAGGUUGCAGUGAGUUAUCAUUGUUCCACUGCACUCCAGCCUGGGUGCCAGAGUGAGACCCUUCCUCAA